AGAGUUUGAUCCUGGCUCAGAUUGAACGCUGGCGGCAUGCCUUACACAUGCAAGUCGAACGGCAGCGCGGGAGCAAUCCUGGCGGCGAGUGGCGAACGGGUGAGUAAUAUAUCGGAACGUGCCUUAGAGUGGGGGAUAACUAGUCGAAAGACUAGCUAAUACCGCAUACGACCUACGGGUGAAAGUGGGGGAUCGCAAGACCUCAUGCUCUUAGAGCGGCCGAUAUCUGAUUAGCUAGUUGGUGGGGUAAAAGCCUACCAAGGCGACGAUCAGUAGCUGGUCUGAGAGGACGACCAGCCACACUGGGACUGAGACACGGCCCAGACUCCUACGGGAGGCAGCAGUGGGGAAUUUUGGACAAUGGGGGCAACCCUGAUCCAGCAAUGCCGCGUGUGUGAAGAAGGCCUUCGGGUUGUAAAGCA
rnacentral:rRNA from 1 species